rnacentral:lncRNA from 1 species
CCUUUCUUCAAAACCCGGCUCUCGUCACUUUCGUAUCAAGAACGCUAUGUCAGGCUGAUAACGCACGCGCCGUUCGUGGCUGGGAAGAACCGUGGCCGCG